GGGAGUGCAAAGGUUUCGACAGGGUUGUUAUGCUAUAAGUAGCAGGCCAGGUUGAUCGCUGUGAGAGAUCAACUCAUCGUUUAGAUGGAAACAAAAAUUACGCUUUAGCUGCAUAAUGCCAGCUUGCCUCUAGUCUUUCUUUUCUGUAAGAGCGGCUAAACGAGGUAUAACCUAAAUACAGAUUACCCGAAUCGAUUUCUCUAAGGUUUGGGGACAAUUUAGAGGAUAGCUUUACUUAGCCCUGUCUGCGGGAAUAAGUAUUGCGAAAUUAAAUAGUAGACUAAGCUUGUAGAAGCUUAUGGUACUAACAGUUUUGGACGCGGGUUCGAUUCCCGCCACUUCCACCA
rnacentral:tmRNA from 1 species